rnacentral:lncRNA from 10 species
AUGGACAUGGCACCCACAUUGGCACCCUCUGGUCUUGUCCCCACAGGACACCCCUCUGUCAUGGUGAUCAAGACGGCUAGGGGGCAGGGAAGGCGAGAAGAGGGAGGAGACACUGGUGUGACUCAUAGCAAAGUAAGAGCUUCUUCCCUCCUCUCUGCACCCCAAAUACGGCUGCAUUAGAACUAAGCAAGCUAUUGAUACCACACUGACCUAAAAAUAACAAAUGGCGAAGUCAGUGGCCUAGGAGGCUGGAGAAUCUUAACACCAGGUGGCCCAGGGCAUACCCAGAGCUUCUGGCAACCGAAAUCUGGAAAAAGUGGUAACAGUUCCAUCUGGUCAAAUGACAAAAGCCUAAAUUUGUAUCAAGUAGUGGCUGAUAACAGUCAAUUUCUACCUAGAAGGCACUACGUUGGAUCUAGGUGUUCAGGGUUCUUUAAGUCAUGCUCUGAAUGAAUAAGCAAUGAUUCCAAAGUAUGUGAAGCUAGCCUCACAGAUUGAAGUCCUUGAAAUCACACUUUCCAAACAGCUUCAAAUGAAGAACAAGCUCAUACAAACUCAAGAGUGCUUGAUCGAUGAGCAACUCCAGCAAGUGAAGACAUCACAGUCUGGGGCAGUGCAUGGCUGACCCCUUUACCUGUUGAACUAGCUGCUUUGGCCCUUGUUUCAAGGGAAAAGGGCUCUAGAGGAAUUGGGGGUUUGGUCCUCUUAAGGUCUGAGGUCUUUGGGUCUCUGGGUUUGGUCAGGCCCUUAGGGACUGUGGGCUUAGGCUGAGCAAGGGUAGCCUUGGGACAUGUCUCAAACUCUGGUGAAGUCAAGAAAGGCCACAGAGUGGAAAAUCCAGAAUCUACAUCCCAUUCGUGCCAGAGCCCUGUUCCAUCCACUCUCUGAGCAGAUGUCUCCCUACGAAGGCCCAAGGGACUCCUGAAAAGCAGGCACGAAUAGACCGCAGAGUUAAACAGUGCAAGGGCAUGCUGUGGACCCACCCACUUUGGGUAAAUCUUUUGACUUCUCUGUGAAUCAGAAAAUCAAUGGGAUAGACUAUGCCUCACAGGGCCACCCUAGGGAUCGAAUAAGAUGAUGGAUACCAAAGUGCUUCAUUAACAAUAAAGUGCCAAAAAGAGUUA